rnacentral:lncRNA from 1 species
UGAAAAUUCAAAGUUUUGACCUUUUUGCAUUGUUUCCAAGGUAACAACAGAUAUUUUGGAAAUUCCAACGCCAAAUUCCACAUCUUCCAAUGUUGCUCAUCGUUACUGUGAAGUUUCCUGAAGUUUGGAGCAUUUUGAGAAUUUCGAAAUUUUUGGUGUAGUUUCCAUGGCAACAUAGUAGUUCCAAUGAUCACCAAAAUCAUCCAACACCUGUAUAUAGUGGGCACCUACAUUGUAUUAAAAUAUAAUGAUUCUGAGAUAAAGCAUAUCCAAACAGUUCACCAAAACAAAAAACUGGAUUUUUUCACAUUUGUUCUGUUUCCAUGGAAACGGUAGCCAUCUUGAACCAUUCCAUGCUUCCUGCAACUCUGCACCUGGGGGUCCUUACUAUAGUAGAGUUCCAUCAACAUUGGUCCAUUGGAUUUCGAGAAAUCACCUGGACAAAAUUUGUUGCAAGAAAAAUAAUAAUAACUAGAAUUGCCAUUGCAAGCAAUAGCGGAUGUCACCCUUCCCCCAAUUGCCACUAAGCGGCAGCCAUUUCAAAAUUGUUUAACAGUGAAUGCACAUAUAUGCAUGGCAAUACAUCUUUCUGUAAAUUUUCAGUA